ACAUGACGUGUGGCUGUCGUAAAAACCCUAUUUGUAAACAACCAGCCCUUUAACUCGGGGCUGCGUCAUAAACACGGCGCGCUUGGAAGACCACGAUGUCAUCUUCCUUCUGUCAGGAGGAUCCAAGUGAAGCUACAGGAGUUUCAUUAACGUCAACAACUUGGACCAAACAGUUUGUUUUGCUUGAUGAAGAGCAGGAAGGGCAGCCUGGAGAGAAAGAGAAGCCGGGUUGAGCCCACUACCAUCAUCCAUGUACCACGAGGAAGAUGAGGGAGAGAAAUGAUCCUACCAUUAAAGAGACUGUGAAAAGAACGUUGAGAACAUCACCACUCUACAGGAAGACACAGUCCAGUAAUGGGUGUCAGAAGUUCAGUAGUGAACGACAGAAACAAACAAUCGAAAUUACCUGCAGAAAGCCCUUGAUGGACGCUUCAGCUGCAUCGUCAGACUGGCAGUACUGAUGCAUUUACUGAGAGGGGACGUGAGGGCCUACUCUGCGUGCUCAGAGUUCAAGCCCAGCAGGCUGCAGCGGGCCUGACAUAUUCUGGAACAGCAGCACAGUCUUUGGAUGACUCCUCUGAAGAUGAAAACAUGGCGAGUUCUUCUCAAGAGAAGCAGUACAGGUGUGCCUCAGCUCCACGGUCCCUCCUGCAGCCUCCGCUCCUGAUGCUAACCUCAUGUCUCCAUCACACCAAGCAGCAGACCUGGAUUGACAGACCUUUCUCCAGAGCUGCCCCCUCCCUCUGAAACCCCCCUCUCCAAAACACUAUUUGUGUAGUUUUUAAAGUAUUUUUUGCAUGAGAAUUGUUGAUCAUAACAUUUCCAGCAGAUGCCUUAAUAUAAUGUUUGUGCACAAUAAAUGACAUUGAUCAUAACAUAA